ACUCAAAUGAAUUGACGGGGGCCCGCACAAGCAGCGGAGCGUGCGGUUUAAUUCGAUGGUACGCGAAGAACCUUACCCAGACUUGACAUGUGAGUGGUACCGAUCCGAAAGGUGAGGGACCCGCAAGGGAGCUCACACAGGUGUUGCACGGCUGUCGUCAGCUCGUGUCGUGAGAUGUUGGGUUAAGUCCCGCAACGAGCGCAACCCUCGGGGUCUGUUGUAUCUCUCAGAUCCCACUGCCGAGAGAAACUCGGAGGAAGGUGGGGACGAAGUCAAGUCCGCGUGGCCUUUAUGUCUGGGGCUACACGCACGCUACAAUCGCCGGUCACAGCGGGUCGCGACAACGCAAGUUGAAGCUAAUCCCUUAAAACCGGCGUCAGUUCAGAUCGAAGGCUGCAACCCGCCUUCGUGAAGUCGGAGUUGCUAGUAACCGCGGGUCAGCACACCGCCCGU
rnacentral:rRNA from 1 species